rnacentral:rRNA from 1 species
GAUGAACGCUGGCGGCGUGCCUAAUACAUGCAAGUCGAGCGAACGGACGAGAAGCUUGCUUCUCUGAUGUUAGCGGCGGACGGGUGAGUAACACGUGGAUAACCUACCUAUAAGACUGGGAUAACUUCGGGAAACCGGAGCUAAUACCGGAUAAUAUUUUGAACCGCAUGGUUCAAAAGUGAAAGACGGUCUUGCUGUCACUUAUAGAUGGAUCCGCGCUGCAUUAGCUAGUUGGUAAGGUAACGGCUUACCAAGGCAACGAUGCAUAGCCGACCUGAGAGGGUGAGCGCCGACACUGGAACUGAGACACGGUCCAGACUCCUACGGGAGGCAGCAGUAGGGAAUCUUCCGCAAUGGGCGAAAGCCUGACGGAGCAACGCCGCGUGAGUGAUGAAGGUCUUCGGAUCGUAAAACUCUGUUAUUAGGGAAGAACAUAUGUGUAAGUAACUGUGCACAUCUUGACGGUACCUAAUCAGAAAGCCACGGCUAACUACGUG